UUUGACUAAGGAUUUCUUCUAAUCUAAUGCUGUUAACGACAUAAAACAGGUUAAGCGCUUAUUUUGCCCAUUAAUAAGCGGUACUUACAUAAAAUAUAAAAAAUAAAUCAAACGGCGUGAAAUGUAGCAAAAUUAUGUUAACCGUUCAAGGUGACGACCGAUUUCAUUACAUCGCAAUGACUUGCGUUGUGGUAAAAUUAUACCGCAAUGAACUGCGAGUGAUGCACAUCUGCGACCCGUGUUAUCAUCAGAUUCGUUCUACCAAGAAAGAGAUUCGCCAGUUUCGAAGAAAAUAGGUUAACUCACCACGUGCAACGAACCGCCUAGAAGAUGUUAAUACAACUACAUUAGACUUCAUUUAUAUUUAGCUAGAUACCUUGAAAUUUCGCAGUCUGACCGAACCAAUCGAC